GAACUUGGGUCAGGAAUGCAGUUGGAGGUUUGACAGCACAUGGCUUCAGCACGCGCAGGUGCCUCUCCUGCUCUCAGGAAAGACCUGAAGAAUCCCAGCUCCAUGAUCUUGAAGGACUCGGGCCCACCCCCAGGUUUCCAGGACAUCUCGAGAGGAACAGAAACAUGGGGGCACAGCAUGGGGGUGUGCGCAGGAAGCAGAGGCACGGCUUACAGAGAAGCAGAGGUUGGGACUUUUCCUUGGCUGGCAAGAUGAAAUUCAGCCGCCAAGAGGCGCACAGUGCGCACCGUGCUGUCUGCAGCGACAUCUUCUGGCCACUUUUGGAAUAACUUUCCUUUGAGGAAUUGUCUUUAAAGAACGGUUUAGGCAAAAGCCAGGUGGAGGAUUUGUACUGUGGUUGUAUCUAGGUGAGAGGAGAGUUCAGCAUUUAUCACAAACCCAAGAAAGCCCUCAUUCUGCCUGGCAGAACUCCCCCUGAAGCCUGUAGCCAGUCAGCUCAGCCCACUGAAUAAUCAAACAUCCUUGGUAUCUAUGUCCAUUCCUCUGCAGGACAGGGUUGUCGAUAUGUAGCCUAGGCUGCCCUCGAACCUAGGAUCCUCUUGCCACAGCCUCCUGAGUGCCGGCAUUACAUCGCUGGUCAGCGUCAACACUUGGGUGACAGGAACAGGCUACUGUGCUUAUCUGUGUGUGUGUGUGUGUGUGUUUUGAAAUUUGUUGUUGGGCUGGUGAGAAGGCUCAGUGGUUGAGAGUGCCGACUGCUCUUCCAGAGGUCCUGAGUUCAAAUCCCAGCAACCACAUGGUGGCUCACAACCAUCCAUAACAAAAAUCUGGUGCCCUCUUCUGGAGUGUCUGAAGACAGCUACAAUGUACACACAUAUAAUAAACAAACAAACAAACAAACAAAUAAACAAACAAAUAAAUCUUAAAAAAAAGAAUUGAGAAACCAUCAGUUACAAGCCAAGUUCAAAGUCAACUAAUGUUACAAGACACCCAGACUCUAAAAUAUUAAAAAAAUUGUUGUUGGUUUGUUUUCAAUUUUGUUGAGUC
rnacentral:lncRNA from 1 species